GGGUUGUGAGGUUAAGCGACUAAGCGUACACGGUGGAUGCCCUGGCAGUCAGAGGCGAUGAAGGACGUGCUAAUCUGCGAUAAGCGUCGGUAAGGUGAUAUGAACCGUUAUAACCGGCGAUUUCCGAAUGGGGAAACCCAGUGUGAUUCGUCACACUAUCAUUAACUGAAUCCAUAGGUUAAUGAGGCGAACCGGGGGAACUGAAACAUCUAAGUACCCCGAGGAAAAGAAAUCAACCGAGAUUCCCCCAGUAGCGGCGAGCGAACGGGGAGCAGCCCAGAGCCUGAAUCAGUGUGUGUGUUAGUGGAAGCGUCUGGAAAGGCGCGCGAUACAGGGUGACAGCCCCGUACACAAAAAUGCACAUGCUGUGAGCUCGAUGAGUAGGGCGGGACACGUGGUAUCCUGUCUGAAUAUGGGGGGACCAUCCUCCAAGGCUAAAUACUCCUGACUGACCGAUAGUGAACCAGUACCGUGAGGGAAAGGCGAAAAGAACCCCGGCGAGGGGAGUGAAAAAGAACCUGAAACCGUGUACGUACAAGCAGUGGGAGCACGCUUAGGCGUGUGACUGCGUACCUUUUGUAUAAUGGGUCAGCGACUUAUAUUCUGUAGCAAGGUUAACCGAAUAGGGGAGCCGAAGGGAAACCGAGUCUUAACUGGGCGUUAAGUUGCAGGGUAUAGACCCGAAACCCGGUGAUCUAGCCAUGGGCAGGUUGAAGGUUGGGUAACACUAACUGGAGGACCGAACCGACUAAUGUUGAAAAAUUAGCGGAUGACUUGUGGCUGGGGGUGAAAGGCCAAUCAAACCGGGAGAUAGCUGGUUCUCCCCGAAAGCUAUUUAGGUAGCGCCUCGUGAAUUCAUCUCCGGGGGUAGAGCACUGUUUCGGCAAGGGGGUCAUCCCGACUUACCAACCCGAUGCAAACUGCGAAUACCGGAGAAUGUUAUCACGGGAGACACACGGCGGGUGCUAACGUCCGUCGUGAAGAGGGAAACAACCCAGACCGCCAGCUAAGGUCCCAAAGUCAUGGUUAAGUGGGAAACGAUGUGGGAAGGCCCAGACAGCCAGGAUGUUGGCUUAGAAGCAGCCAUCAUUUAAAGAAAGCGUAAUAGCUCACUGGUCGAGUCGGCCUGCGCGGAAGAUGUAACGGGGCUAAACCAUGCACCGAAGCUGCGGCAGCGACGCUUAUGCGUUGUUGGGUAGGGGAGCGUUCUGUAAGCCUGCGAAGGUGUGCUGUGAGGCAUGCUGGAGGUAUCAGAAGUGCGAAUGCUGACAUAAGUAACGAUAAAGCGGGUGAAAAGCCCGCUCGCCGGAAGACCAAGGGUUCCUGUCCAACGUUAAUCGGGGCAGGGUGAGUCGACCCCUAAGGCGAGGCCGAAAGGCGUAGUCGAUGGGAAACAGGUUAAUAUUCCUGUACUUGGUGUUACUGCGAAGGGGGGACGGAGAAGGCUAUGUUGGCCGGGCGACGGUUGUCCCGGUUUAAGCGUGUAGGCUGGUUUUCCAGGCAAAUCCGGAAAAUCAAGGCUGAGGCGUGAUGACGAGGCACUACGGUGCUGAAGCAACAAAUGCCCUGCUUCCAGGAAAAGCCUCUAAGCAUCAGGUAACAUCAAAUCGUACCCCAAACCGACACAGGUGGUCAGGUAGAGAAUACCAAGGCGCUUGAGAGAACUCGGGUGAAGGAACUAGGCAAAAUGGUGCCGUAACUUCGGGAGAAGGCACGCUGAUAUGUAGGUGAAGUGAUUUACUCAUGAAGCUGAAAUCAGUCGAAGAUACCAGCUGGCUGCAACUGUUUAUUAAAAACACAGCACUGUGCAAACACGAAAGUGGACGUAUACGGUGUGACGCCUGCCCGGUGCCGGAAGGUUAAUUGAUGGGGUCAGCGCAAGCGAAGCUCUUGAUCGAAGCCCCGGUAAACGGCGGCCGUAACUAUAACGGUCCUAAGGUAGCGAAAUUCCUUGUCGGGUAAGUUCCGACCUGCACGAAUGGCGUAAUGAUGGCCAGGCUGUCUCCACCCGAGACUCAGUGAAAUUGAACUCGCUGUGAAGAUGCAGUGUACCCGCGGCAAGACGGAAAGACCCCGUGAACCUUUACUAUAGCUUGACACUGAACAUUGAGCCUUGAUGUGUAGGAUAGGUGGGAGGCUUUGAAGUGUGGACGCCAGUCUGCAUGGAGCCGACCUUGAAAUACCACCCUUUAAUGUUUGAUGUUCUAACGUUGACCCGUAAUCCGGGUUGCGGACAGUGUCUGGUGGGUAGUUUGACUGGGGCGGUCUCCUCCUAAAGAGUAACGGAGGAGCACGAAGGUUGGCUAAUCCUGGUCGGACAUCAGGAGGUUAGUGCAAUGGCAUAAGCCAGCUUGACUGCGAGCGUGACGGCGCGAGCAGGUGCGAAAGCAGGUCAUAGUGAUCCGGUGGUUCUGAAUGGAAGGGCCAUCGCUCAACGGAUAAAAGGUACUCCGGGGAUAACAGGCUGAUACCGCCCAAGAGUUCAUAUCGACGGCGGUGUUUGGCACCUCGAUGUCGGCUCAUCACAUCCUGGGGCUGAAGUAGGUCCCAAGGGUAUGGCUGUUCGCCAUUUAAAGUGGUACGCGAGCUGGGUUUAGAACGUCGUGAGACAGUUCGGUCCCUAUCUGCCGUGGGCGCUGGAGAACUGAGGGGGGCUGCUCCUAGUACGAGAGGACCGGAGUGGACGCAUCACUGGUGUUCGGGUUGUCAUGCCAAUGGCACUGCCCGGUAGCUAAAUGCGGAAGAGAUAAGUGCUGAAAGCAUCUAAGCACGAAACUUGCCCCGAGAUGAGUUCUCCCUGACCCUUUAAGGGUCCUGAAGGAACGUUGAAGACGACGACGUUGAUAGGCCGGGUGUGUAAGCGCAGCGAUGCGUUGAGCUAACCGGUACUAAUGAACCGUGAGGCUUAACCUUACAACGCCGAAGCUGUU
rnacentral:rRNA from 1 species